GGCCUGAUAGUUCAAUGGAUAGAAUGGCGGUUUCCUAAACCGUAGAUUCGGGUUCGAUUCCCGGUCGGGCUA
rnacentral:tRNA from 1 species